AUCUAAACUGUUCUUCCGAUUUAAUAUUUAGUUUUAUGUCCCUUCCUUCUCUUUAAAAAUUCUUAUUUUGCUUUAAAAUGUGACCUCAUCAAAGAGUAUCCUUUGCAACUACAGAAGUUUUAUAUCUGUGGCCCUUGAAACCAGGUCAGUCCACUUGCUAACUGCUUUUCUCUUUUUGGAUACCUUCUCCUUCUUUGCCAACAGCUUCAGGUGUUACGCUCUUUUCCUUGACUCAGCGUUGACCAUGGUUCACAAACUCAAAACCUGCAGUGACCAGCUGGUAAAAGGUGAAGAAUUGGAGAGCCCAGGGGCCCACCUACAAAGAGGGCAGCAAUUACUCAUCUAUCUUCAACUGAUCUCCACAAUGGACUGAUGACUCACUGUGGUCUUGGCAUGCCUUCAACAACUGGGACAUAUCAAGAAUAAAACAGGCAGUUUCAACAAUCACAAAGGUUUGAGAGAUAACUAAGAGGGCAAUAUUGAAUGAAAAGUAUCAUUACCUACUCAAGGCCACUCCUUCAAGACUAAAAAAGGUAGCUGUUUGGCCUAACACACACAAACAAAUACAAAGAGUCAAGCAAAAUGAAGAAACAGAGAAAUAUGUUCCAAGUGAAAGAAUAAAACAAACCUCAGAAAAGAAAAAAGGAGGAAAUCCACUUGUAGUGUCUCAGCUCAUGGACCAAUGUCAUAUUGACUGAAUAAAACAAUUUGGCUUGGAGGAGUUUGAUACAUGCUGGAUGAGAAAAAAUGUCUAAGCAGCUUUGAGGAACCAGGCAGAGUAGGAUCAACACUGUUUUCUUGUGGCACCUCUUGAGCCAUUCAGUGGUUCUCAAAUAUCCAACAAGGUGCCUGUGCUGGGUUCCCAAAGAGCACAUCUUAGUCAUGUGAGGCAUCUGUCAACUAUCAGGGAGCCCAGGUGAGAGGGAGAUUCCAUGGGACUUGUGUCACCAUGGGAAUGGAACAUGAGAGGAUUCUUAGGGGAAAUGGAGUUGUGUCUCUUGAUGUUUGGGAAACCAUGGGUUUCAAGAAGAGCACCAUUUGGCAUCAUAUUUGUCCAGAGUGAACAAAGGCAUCAUCCUGGACCAUGAAGGAGGUAACACAAGAAGAUGGAAAAUGUCAAAAAACUGAGUCUCAAAUAUUUGAUGGAAGUCUACCUGGGUCUAAAGCUUGGGCUUCUAACCAAGCCAAACAUAAUGUUUGAAUCUAAGGAAAUAUCCUGCCAUAGGAUGGAGCCACUCCAUCUCUUCCUCUGUGAGUUCUCUUCAUGCCUGGUGAAAGGUGUGGCACUUUUGUUUUCUUUUUCAUUUUGCUCCUUAAAUCGGUGACAACACUGCAUAGCAAUUAAGGCCCUGAUGGUUGGAGUUUGGCUGAACUUGGGUUUGAGUUCUAGCAAUGAUUUCAUGGAUAUGAAACCAGAAACACAGGCAACAAAAGUAAAAAAUAGACCCAUGGUUCCACAUUAAAUUAAAAAAUUUCUGCACAGCAAAGAAAACAAUCAACAGAGUGAAAAGGCAACCUAU